rnacentral:rRNA from 1 species
UACGUAGGGGGCUAGCGUUGUCCGGAUUUAUUGGGCGUAAAGAGCGUGUAGGCGGCCAGGUAGGUCCGCUGUGAAAACUCGAGGCUCAACCUCGAGAUGUCGGCGGAAACCAUGUGGCUAGAGUCCGGAAGAGGAGAGUGGAAUUCCUGGUGUAGCGGUGAAAUGCGCAGAUAUCAGGAAGAACACCCGUGGCUAAGGCGGCUCUCUAGUACGGUACUGACGCUGAGACGCGAAAGCGUGGGGAGCGAACAGG